rnacentral:rRNA from 1 species
CCUACGGGCGUCAGCAGUGAGGAAUAUUGGUCAAUGGACGAGAGUCUGAACCAGCCAAGUAGCGUGAAGGAUGACUGCCCUAUGGGUUGUAAACUUCUUUUAUAUGGGAAUAAAACGUUCCACGUGUGGGAUUUUGUAUGUACCAUAUGAAUAAGGAUCGGCUAACUCCGUGCCAGCAGCCGCGGUAAUACGGAGGAUCCGAGCGUUAUCCGGAUUUAUUGGGUUUAAAGGGAGCGUAGGUGGAUUGUUAAGUCAGUUGUGAAAGUUUGCGGCUCAACCGUAAAAUUGCAGUUGAAACUGGCAGUCUUGAGUACAGUAGAGGUGGGCGGAAUUCGUGGUGUAGCGGUGAAAUGCUUAGAUAUCACGAAGAACUCCGAUUGCGAAGGCAGUUCACUGGACUGCAACUGACACUGAGGCUCGAAAGUGUGGGUAUCAAACAGGAUUAGAUACCCUUGUAGUC